rnacentral:rRNA from 1 species
CACGUAGGGGGCGAGCGUUGUCCGGACUUAUUGGGCGUAAAGGGCUCGUAGGCUGCCAACUAAGUCGGACGUGAAAUCCCUCGGCUUAACCGGGGAACUGCGUCCGAUACUGGAUGGCUUGAGUUUGGGAGAGGGAUGCGGAAUUCCAGGUGUAGCGGUGAAAUGCGUAGAUAUCUGGAGGAACACCGGUGGCGAAGGCGGCAUCCUGGACCAACACUGACGCUGAUGAGCGAAAAGCCAGGGGAGCAAAGCGGG